AAGCCAUGAGGAUUACUUGCGCUGGUGUGAUGGACCGGGUUCAAUCACAACCGUCUGAUUCCAUUAGACGACAAUCCAGCGCAUCCGAGCUU
rfam:Musa acuminata subsp. malaccensis Doubled-haploid Pahang (DH-Pahang) genomic chromosome, chr10